GCAAGUGUGUUGAGCUUCCUGUUCCUCUGGAUCUUUAUUUUGUCUGAAACAGAAUUAUCAUAUGUUCCCCAUACCUGGAAUAUGGUCAUCUCCUAUGACAAUUCUAUAUAAAUCAAGAUGGAGGUGCAGAGGAACAGGAAGCACAAUACACUUGC